rnacentral:rRNA from 1 species
UACAGAGGUCUCAAGCGUUGUUCGGAUUCAUUGGGCGUAAAGGGUGCGUAGGUGGCGCUGUAAGUCGGGUGUGAAAUUUCGGAGCUUAACUCCGAAACUGCAUUCGAUACUGCGGUGCUUGAGGACUGGAGAGGAGACUGGAAUUCAUGGCGUAGCAGUGAAAUGCGUAGAGAUCAUGAGGAAGACCAGUGGCGAAGGCGGGUCUCUGGACAGUUCCUGACACUGAGGCACGAAGGCCAGGGGAGCAAACGGG